rnacentral:lncRNA from 1 species
CUAAUAUAACAUUAUCUGCUACUCUUCUUCCUGGUAUAAAUCCAGCUUGAGAAUUACAUAUAGUGCUACUCAUAACUUUCUGGAGUCUGUUAGCCAACAACUUGGAAAUAUCUUAUACAAGACUGAGCAACAUGCUAUUGGCCUGAAUUCUUUAACUGUCUGAGGAUUGGAUACCUUAGGCAGCAAAGUGAGAGUGGCACAA